AACGCUAACAAACAUCCAUCCAUCCAUCUAAACUUUCGCAUUUAUAGUAUUAGUAAGAUUAGUAAGAUUAAUUUCCGUAUGAUUCCGUAUGAUUUCCGACUUGGUAUACCUAUACCUACCUACCUGGUACAGAUUUAUUUAAGUACAACGGUAUUAUUAGACAUAAGGUAUUCUUGUAAUACGUCAUACCUUUGCACUCAAAGGUAUCAGGUAUAUACGAGAUAUGUAAAUACGAGGUGUGUCGCAGCUGAAGGUGGGCGGCGGCGUGCGGUCGUGGCGCGCGGUGGGCGCGGCGCACGGCGAGCUCUCCGUCUUCUGCUGGUGAUCGCCGCCAGCGCACUACGUCCACUGCGAGGAGCGUCCGCCCUGCGCGCGCUCCUGUGACACCGCGUCACGUCACGUCACGUCACGUCACGUCACGUCACGCGGCGGCAACGACGUGACGACAAAUGUCACGAUACGACAAGCGUCGGCAGAGCUCGCCGGAGAGCGCCGACACAGAACGUGUAACAACAGCCCAGAACGAGCUCGUAACGAGUGCAGUGUCGCGACCUCCGCGGCCAUCUUUUCUAUAACAUUAUUGUAAAUGGACUAAACGGCGUCUAUGUAAAGUUUGUCUGUCCGUGUGAUCGCUCCAGUGUUCGAGUUCCUCUGCACUCUAUGAUCAAAGUACAAAGUGUAUGCGUCGCGCGCUGCUGCUGCUGCUGCGGCGGCGGCGGCGCGGCGCAGGUAGUUUUUUGAUAUCUUUACUCGUUUUUGUAAGUGCGCGAGUGCGGGGGGGUGCGGGGUGCGGGGGUUGAUUUCGAGUGAUGCGGAUUUCUUUGCGCUAUUUUGUAUACGUUAUCAGAACAUAUAACAUUUGCAUUAGGCAGCGCGCGGGCGCACGACUUGCGGAUCUCAUUGUUUCGCAGCAGGGGCGAGUCUUAUUUUCUUACAAUGUUGCGAUCAUUACAAAAGAAGUUUAGUGAUACUUUGCAGCCUCUUUAAGAGUGAAAUGCGAUCGGUCUUUGUAAUGUAUUUGUGACCGAGCGGUGAGCGGAGGUGAGCGAGGGGUAGGCGAGGGGUGAGGGCUGACGCGACUCGUAGUUAUCGUGAAUAUUUGAAGUCGACAAUUAGCUUAAGGUGCACGUUACACUAACUUAAUAUAAAUGUACUAAAAGACAUUACAAAGGAUACUUUCACUUAGAAAACAAAUACUUGUUAGUGAUUUUAUACAUAGUAGACACUCAUUUUUCAAAACGUUUGUCAAAGAUAAAUCGUAGUAAAGUGCGGGAGAGGUCCGCAUCACACGAAGGGCAGUCAUUUUUGACUUGACUUGAUCUCGUAUCGCGGCCGCUCGGUGUUUGUGUUGGCGCAACAUUUAGAUAAUCAUGUACAAGUUUUGUAAGUCGAGUUCGUCAUCGCAAACGUCCGGCGACGCGCGAUUCUUUUGUGUAUUACUGAGGUUAUAUCUAUCCGCUGUGUGCGGGGGCGGCGGGCGGCGGGGGCGGGGGCGACUUCUCUCCCUCGCUUUCUCGUAAUUUUUUAUUUAUAAAUGUGAGGAAAUCAAAGAGAUGAACGUAUAAAAGUGUCGUUUCCAGAUACAGCAAUGUCGGUGCCGCUUGUGACGCCCUCGAAGUAACGUUCUUUAGCAAUUUCUCCAGGUUUAUUAAUAUCGGUGUUAGCAAAAUGUUUUCAUCGAUGAUAUAAACAGCAUUUUUAUCGUUGUAAGGUUUAGAAGAGACUUACAUGUCAGGAAGGGUGCGCCGCCCCCUCCCCCGCCCCCGCACAACUAUAACUUCGUCUGUAGAUGUAGCCGGGCUAAACUUCUGUUAUUCUUGUUGUGUUAUAAAAUGAACAGAAAAUAUAAAAAAAAGAAAAAAGAAAAAGUGGUGUGAAUGAACUCGGUGAAAUUAAAGACAUUUAACAAAUUUUCAAAUUAAUACGAUAAAAGUAAGGACUUUUUUAAGAUGAAAACGUCGCUUGGUAAAUAUUGUAUGUACAUAGCGUAAGUGGUAGCUGUAAGCUGGUUAGAUGUAGUAGGUAUAACAAAUUGUACGGCGGCCGCUUGUCCGACCUCCCCGCCCUGCCUGUCCCUCCCCUGCCCUACCUGUCCCUCCCCUGCCAGACACGCGCGUGGCGACGUCGGGCCGUGGCCGCGAGCCGACUGCGACACGCUUUCUGUAACUUUCAUUCUGAAGCGAUCGAUCAUUUUAACAUUUUUAAACAAAACGGAUAUCAUAAUGAGCGAGCUCGCGGCCAUCUUGCAACUCAGUGGUGAUAUUUUACAAGAUAAUUUAUAUUAUGUUUUAUACAUUGAAUUAACAAGCGUAAUAAAGAGUGAGCAAUGGCACAUGA